rnacentral:rRNA from 1 species
GGAGUGAUCCGCUUUGAGAUGGCCUCGCGUCCGAUUAGCUAGUUGGUGAGGUAACGGCCCACCAAGGCGACGAUCGGUAGCCGGACUGAGAGGUUGAACGGCCACAUUGGGACUGAGACACGGCCCAGACUCCUACGGGAGGCAGCAGUGGGGAAUAUUGCACAAUGGAGGAAACCCUGAUGCAGCGACGCCGCGUGGAGGAAGAAGGUCUUCGGAUUGUAAACUCCUGUUGUUGGGGAAGAUAAUGACGGUACCCAACAAGGAAGUGACGGCUAACUACGUGCCAGCAGCCGCGGUAAAACGUAGGUCACAAGCGUUGUCCGGAAUUACUGGGUGUAAAGGGAGCGCAGGCGGGAAGACAAGUUGGAAGUGAAAUCCAUGGGCUCAACCCAUGAGCUGCUUUCAAAACUGUUUUUCUUGAGUAGUGCAGAGGUAGGCGGAAUUCCCGGUGUAGCGGUGGAAUGCGUAGAUAUCGGGAGGAACACC